AGAGGACAUGUCCUGGAAAAGGAGAGCAUCUGGGAGUUGCAGCCCUCGCUGAAAUCAGGAUGCCAACACUUUAACCAUUUCCGGGAUGGAAGCACAUAGGUCACUGUUUGAAAAGUCCAGGGGAAACUGAUUGGGUGUUCAAGAUUUAAAAGUUCAAUUAAAGAUUCAAUGAUGAGCCCUUGGAGGCUGCAAAUCUCUUCUCAUAUGCAUAGGGUGGAAUGGAAAAUCCAGGGGCAGACCUACAUAAGCAGGCUAUGUGUGAGAAUGUCCAUAGAAAUGAAAACUUUGUUCAUGUGAAGAUGGGA